UCCAAGUGUGAAGCGCCCUUGGAGUGCCACACAGUGCAUGAGUAAUGGGAACAGGAAGGCUACUGCCAGGACCCUGACUCAGAAACUGCGUCCUUUCCACCACGUUCCCCCCGGCUCUCACAUGAUUUCUUCUUGUGCCUUUGUUUGUCCCUCUUCUCAUCCUUGCUUGCGUUUAACGGAGGGCCGCUAGGCAAGGCAACCCGACCCUGAAAGAAGAUCCCAAAAUACCCUUAAGAUGACCUCUGCCUGCCAUGCUGUGAACAACUGUGGGUUUCAUCGAUUGAUUGACACGUGGUGUUUGCCUCUGGCGGAAUCAUCCACCCCAGUUCUCUCAUGGAUCCGGGUGCCUUCAGGAUGCUGUCUGGGGGGGGAGGUGAAUAGAGUUGGUGACUCGGGGCACAAUAGAAAUAAAAACACCACUUCACUUUUGCAGUGUU